rnacentral:rRNA from 1 species
GGCAUGAUUACCUGUACCCGAAACCGACACAGGUGGGGUGGUAGAGAAUACCGAGGGGCGCGAGGUAACUCUCUCUAAGGAACUCGGCAAAAUGACCCCGUAACUUCGGGAGAAGGGGUGCCAGCGCGAGCUGGCCGCAGUGAAUAGGCCCAGGCGACUGUUUACCAAAAACACAGGUCUCCGCUAAGUCGCAAGACGAUGUAUGGGGGCUGACGCCUGCCCAGUGCCGGAAGGUUAAAGAAGUUGGUCAGCGCAAGCGAAGCUAACGACUGAAGCCCCGGUGAACGGCGGCCGUAACGAUAACGGUCCUAAGGUAGCGAAAUUCCUUGUCGGGUAAGUUCCGACCCGCACGAAAGGCGUAACGAUCUGGGCGCUGUCUCGGAGAGAGGCUCGGCGAGAUAGAAUUGUCUGUGAAGAUGCGGACUACGUGCACCCGGACAGAAAGACCCUAUGAAGCUUUACUGUAGCUUGGUAUUGUGCUCGGGCUCGCAAUGCGCAGGAUAGGUGGGAGGCUUUGAUCCAUUGCUUGUGGGUGAUGGUGAGCCACUGGUGAGAUACCACUCUUUGCGAGCUAGGGUUCUAACGGUUACCCGUCAUCCGGGAACCGGACAGUAUCUGGUGGGCAGUUUGACUGGGGCGGUCGCCUCCUAAAAGGUAACGGAGGCGCGCAAAGGUUUGCUCAGGCUGGUUGGAAAUCAGCCGACGAGUGUAAAAGCAGAAGCAAGCUUGACUGUGAGACCUACAAGUCGAACAGGGAGGAAACUCGGCUUUAGUGAUCCGACGGUUCUGAGUGGAAGGGCCGUCGCUCAACGGAUAAAAGUUACUCUAGGAUAACAGGCUGAUCUCCCCCAAGAGUUCACAUCGACGGGGAGGUUUGGCACCUGGAUGUCGGCUCAUCGCAACCUGGGGCUGAAGUCGGUCCCAAGGGUUGGGCUGUUCGCCCAUUAAAGCGGUACGCGAGCUGGGUUCAGAACGUCGUGAGACAGUUCGGUCCAUAUCCGGUGCAUGCGCAGGAAUAUUGAGAGGAUUUCUCCCUAGUACGAGAGGACCGGGAGGAACGCACCUCUGGUGUACCAGUUAUCGUGCCAACGGUAAACGCUGGGUGGCCAUGUGCGGAGUGGAUAACCGCUGAAAGCAUCUAAGUGGGAAGCCCACCUCAAGAUGAGUAUUCCCAUGGCUUAAGCCAGUAAGGUCACGGGAAGAACACCCGUUGAUAGGCUCUAUGUGGAAGCGCAGUAAUGCGUGAAGCAGAGGAGUACUAAUAGACCGAGGGCUUGACC